rnacentral:rRNA from 1 species
UACAGAGGUCUCAACCGUUGUUCGGAUUCAUUGGGCGUAAAGGGUGCGUAGGCGGUCGCGUAAGUCGGAUGUGAAAUCCCAGGGCUCAACCCUGGAACUGCAUUCGAUACUGCGUGGCUAGGGUACUGGAGAGGAGACUGGAAUUUACGGUGUAGCAGUGAAAUGCGUAGAUAUCGUAAGGAAGACCAGUGGCGAAGGCGAGUCUCUGGACAGUUACCGACGCUGAGGCACGAAGGUCAGGGGAGCAAACGGG